AAUCAAGCGUUUAAGGGCGUUUGGCGGAUGCCUUGGCACUGUAAGACGAUGAAGGACGUGGUAUACUGCGAUAAGUUUCGGGGAGCUGUAUGCAGGCUUUGAUCCGAAAAUUUCCGAAUGGGGAAACCCAACACUUCGUGUGUUACUUUAUACUGAAUUCAUAGGUAUAAAGAGGCAACCUGGAGAACUGAAACAUCUAAGUAACCAGAGGAAAAGAAAUCAACCGAGAUUCUCUUAGUAGCGGCGAGCGAACGGGGAUCAGCCUGCAAGUAAUAGCAGUGAGGUU
rnacentral:rRNA from 1 species